CCCUGGAGGAGAAGAUGAGUGCGUGUGGAGGCAGAGCCGCGGGCCCGGUGUGGACGAGUCGAGGCGGAGAAGACGGGCGCACAGUCCCUGAGUUACGCCUCAGCCCCCCCCCACACACACAAACAAAGAGGCGUUAGGCUGAGACGCUGAAAGUCCGGAUUUAAAGUGCAGAAAAUUAAGCCAUUGAAUCUGCCUGUCCAUGACGUAGUAAGAC